rnacentral:rRNA from 1 species
CGAUGUCCGUGGUAGGAGAGCGUUCUAAGGGCGUUGAAGCUAGACCGCAAGGACUGGUGGAGCGCUUAGAAGUGAGAAUGCCGGUAUGAGUAGCGAAAGAUGGGUGAGAAUCCCAUCCACCGAAUGCCUAAGGUUUCCUGAGGAAGGCUCGUCCGCUCAGGGUUAGUCGGGACCUAAGCCGAGGCUGAAAAGCGUAGGCGAUGGACAACAGGUUGAUAUUCCUGUACCACCAAACUCCGUUUGAGCAAUGGGGGGACGCAGGAGGAUAGGGUAAGCGCACUGCUGGAUAUGUGCGUCUAAGCAGUUAGGCUGCAAGCGAGGAAAAUCCCGUUUGCGUGAAGGCUGAGCUGUGACAGCGAGGGAAAUAUAGUACCGAAGUUCCUGAUUCCACACUGCCAAGAAAAGCCUCUAGCGAGGAUAAGGUGCCCGUACCGCAAACCGACACAGGUAGGCGAGGAGAGAAUCCUAAGGUGAGCGAGAGAACUCUCGUUAAGGAACUCGGCAAAAUGACCCCGUAACUUCGGGAGAAGGGGUGCUCUUUGGGGUGUUAAAGCCUCGAAGAGCCGCAGUGAAUAGGCCCAGGCGACUGUUUAGCAAAAACACAGGUCUCUGCGAAGCCGCAAGGCGAAGUAUAGGGGCUGACGCCUGCCCGGUGCUGGAAGGUUAAGAGGAGGGGUUAGCGCAAGCGAAGCUCUGAAUUGAAGCCCCAGUAAACGGCGGCCGUAACUAUAACGGUCCUAAGGUAGCGAAAUUCCUUGUCGGGUAAGUUCCGACCCGCACGAAAGGCGUAACGAUCUGGGCACUGUCUCAACGAGAGACUCGGUGAAAUUAUAGUACCUGUGAAGAUGCAGGUUACCCGCGACAGGACGGAAAGACCCCGUGGAGCUUUACUGUAGCCUGAUAUUGAAUUUCGGUACAGCUUGUACAGGAUAGGUAGGAGCCUUGGAAGCCGGAGCGCCAGCUUCGGUGGAGGCAUCGGUGGGAUACUACCCUGGCUGUAUUGAAAUUCUAACCCAUGCCCCUGAUCGGGGCAGGAGACAGUGUCAGGUGGGCAGUUUGACUGGGGCGGUCGCCUCCUAAAAAGUAACGGAGGCGCCCAAAGGUUCCCUCAGAAUGGUUGGAAAUCAUUCGAAGAGUGUAAAGGCAUAAGGGAGCUUGACUGCGAGACCUACAAGUCGAGCAGGGACGAAAGUCGGGCUUAGUGAUCCGGUGGUUCCGCAUGGAAGGGCCAUCGCUCAACGGAUAAAAGCUACCCCGGGGAUAACAGGCUUAUCUCCCCCAAGAGUCCACAUCGACGGGGAGGUUUGGCACCUCGAUGUCGGCUCAUCGCAUCCUGGGGCUGUAGUCGGUCCCAAGGGUUGGGCUGUUCGCCCAUUAAAGCGGUACGCGAGCUGGGUUCAGAACGUCGUGAGACAGUUCGGUCCCUAUCCGUCGUGGGCGCAGGAAAUUUGAGAGGAGCUGUCCUUAGUACGAGAGGACCGGGAUGGACGCACCGCUGGUGUACCAGUUGUUCUGCCAAGAGCAUCGCUGGGUAGCUAUGUGCGGAAGGGAUAAGUGCUGAAAGCAUCUAAGCAUGAAGCCCCCCUCGAGAUGAGAUUUCCCAUAGCGUCAAGCUAGUAAGACCCCUGAAAGAUGAUCAGGUUGAUAGGUUUGAGGUGGAAGC